rnacentral:tRNA from 1 species
GCCGACGUGGCGGAAUUGGUAGACGCACUAGCUUGAGGUGCUAGCGGGUAACACCGUGCCGGUUCGAGUCCGGCCGUCGGCACCA